rnacentral:rRNA from 1 species
GAUGAACGCUGGCGGCGUGCCUAAUACAUGCAAGUCGAGCGAACAGACGAGGAGCUUGCUCCUUCGACGUUAGCGGCGGACGGGUGAGUAACACGUAGGUAACCUACCUAUAAGACUGGGAUAACUUCGGGAAACCGGAGCUAAUACCGGAUAAUAUUUCGAACCGCAUGGUUCGAUAGUGAAAGAUGGCUUUGCUAUAACUUAUAGAUGGACCUGCGUCGUAUUAGCUAGUUGGUAAGGUAACGGCUUACCAAGGCAACGAUACGAAGCCGACCUGAGAGGGUGACCGGCCACACGGGAACUGAGACACGGUCCAGACUCCUACGGGAGGCAGCAGUAGGGAAUCUUCCGCAAUGGGCGAAAGCCUGACGGAGCAACGCCGCGUGAGUGAUGAAGGUCUUCGGAUCUUAAAACUCUGUUAUUAGGGAAGAACAAACGUGUAAGUAACUGUGCACGUCGUGACGGUACCUAAUCAGAAAGCCACGGCUAACUACGUG